AGUGAACGCUGGCGGUAGGCCUAACACAUGCAAGUCGAACGGCAGCACAGUAAGAGCUUGCUCUUACGGGUGGCGAGUGGCGGACGGGUGAGGAAUACAUCGGAAUCUACUUUUUCGUGGGGGGUAACGUAGGGAAACUUACGCUAAUACCGCAUACGACCUACGGGUGAAAGCAGGGGAUCUUCGGACCUUGCGCGAUUGAAUGAGCCGAUGUCGGAUUAGCUAGUGGGCGGGGUAAAGGCCCACCAAGGCGACGAUCCGUAGCUGGUCUGAGAGGAUGAUCAGCCACACUGGAACUGAGACACGGUCCAGACUCCUACGGGAGGCAGCAGUGGGGAAUAUUGGACAAUGGGCGCAAGCCUGAUCCAGCCAUACCGCGUGGGUGAAGAAGGCCUUCGGGUUGUAAAGCCCUUUUGUUGGGAAAGAAAAGCAGCAGGUUAAUACCCCGCUGUUCUGACGGUACCCAAAGAAUAAGCACCGGCUAACUUCGUG
rnacentral:rRNA from 1 species